UACGAAGGGGGCUAGCGUUGCUCGGAAUCACUGGGCGUAAAGCGCACGUAGGCGGCUUUUUAAGUCAGGGGUGGAAUCCUGGAGCUCAACUCCAGAACUGCCUUUGAUACUGGGAAGCUUGAGUCCGGGAGAGGUGAGUGGAACUCCGAGUGUAGAGGUGAAAUUCGUAGAUAUUCGGAAGAACACCAGUGGCGAAGGCGGCUCACUGGCCCGGUACUGACGCUGAGGUGCGAAAGCGUGGGGAGCAAACAGG
rnacentral:rRNA from 1 species